GCUUGCUUGUUGGGGUUGUAGGACACUCUAUACGGAGUUACAAAGGACGACAUUAGACGAAUCAUCUGGAAAGAUGAAUCAAAGAAGGUAAUAAUCCUGUAGUCGAAAAUGUUGUCUCUCUUGAGUGGAUCCUGAGUACGACGGAGCACGUGAAAUUCCGUCGGAAUCUGGGAGGACCAUCUCCUAAGGCUAAAUACUCUCUAGUGACCGAUAGUGAACCAGUACCGUGAGGGAAAGGUGAAAAGCACCCCGGAAGGGGAGUGAAAUAGAACCUGAAACCGUGUGCUUACAAGUAGUCAGAGCCCGUUAAUGGGUGAUGGCGUGCCUUUUGUAGAAUGAACCGGCGAGUUACGAUUUGAUGCAAGGUUAAGCAGUAAAUGUGGAGCCGUAGCGAAAGCGAGUCUGAAUAGGGCGUUUAGUAUUUGGUCGUAGACCCGAAACCAGGUGAUCUACCCUUGGUCAGGUUGAAGUUCAGGUAACACUGAAUGGAGGACCGAACCGACUUACGUUGAAAAGUGAGCGGAUGAACUGAGGGUAGCGGAGAAAUUCCAAUCGAACCUGGAGAUAGCUGGUUCUCUCCGAAAUAGCUUUAGGGCUAGCCUCAAGUGAUGAUUAUUGGAGGUAGAGCACUGUUUGGACGAGGGGCCCCUCUCGGGUUACCGAAUUCAGACAAACUCCGAAUGCCAAUUAAUUUAACUUGGGAGUCAGAACAUGGGUGAUAAGGUCCGUGUUCGAAAGGGAAACAGCCC
rnacentral:rRNA from 1 species